GAUGAACGCUGGCGGCGUGCCUAAUACAUGCAAGUCGAGCGAACAGACGAGGAGCUUGCUCCUCUGACGUUAGCGGCGGACGGGCGAGUAACACGUGGAUAACCUACCUAUAAGACUGGGAUAACUUCGGGAAACCGGAGCUAAUACCGGAUAAUAUAUUGAACCGCAUGGUUCAAUAGUGAAAGACGGUUUUGCUGUCACUUAUAGAUGGAUCCGCGCCGCAUUAGCAAGUUGGUAAGGUAACGGCUUACCAAGGCAACGAUGCGUAGCCGACCUGAGAGGGUGAUCGGCCACACUGCAACUGAGACACGGUCCAGACUCCUACGGGAGGCAGCAGUAGGGACUCUUCCGCAAUGGGCGAAAGCCUGCCGGAGCAACGCCGCGUGAGUGAUGAAGGUCUUCGGAUCGUAAAACUCUGUUAUUAGGGAAGAACGAAUGUGUAAGUAACUAUGCACGUCUUGACGGUACCUAAUCAGAAAGCCACGGCUAACUACGUG
rnacentral:rRNA from 1 species